GAUGAACGCUAGCGGCAGGCCUAACACAUGCAAGUCGAGGGAGAAGCCCUUCGGGGCAGAAACCGGCGCAUGGGUGCGUAACGCGUAUGCAACCUACCUUUCACAGGGGGAUAGCCCGAAGAAAUUUGGAUUAAUACCCCAUAAUAUUAUUGGAUGGCAUCAUUUGAUAAUUAAAAUUACGAUGGUGAAAGAUGGGCAUGCGUCCUAUUAGCUAGUUGGAGUGGUAACGGCACCCCAAGGCUACGAUAGGUAGGGGUCCUGAGAGGGAGAUCCCCCACACUGGUACUGAGACAGGGACCAGACUCCUACGGGAGGCAGCAGUGAGGAAUAUUGGUCAAUGGUCGGAAGACUGAACCAGCCAUGCCGCGUGCAGGAAGAAUGCCUUAUGGGUUGUAAACUGCUUUUAUAUGGGAAGAAUAAGGAGUACGCGUACUUUGAUGACG
rnacentral:rRNA from 1 species